rnacentral:tRNA from 1 species
GGUCUUGUAGCUCAGCUGGUUAGAGCACCUGACUCAUAAUCAGGGGGUCCCUGGUUCAAGCCCAGGCGGGACCA